rnacentral:rRNA from 1 species
UACGAAGGGGGCUAGCGUUGUUCGGAAUUACUGGGCGUAAAGCGCACGUAGGCGGAUCGAUCAGUCAGGGGUGAAAUCCCAGGGCUCAACCCUGGAACUGCCUUUGAUACUGUCGAUCUGGAGUAUGGAAGAGGUGAGUGGAAUUCCGAGUGUAGAGGUGAAAUUCGUAGAUAUUCGGAGGAACACCAGUGGCGAAGGCAGCUCGCUGGGACGGUACUGACGCUGAGACGCGAAAGCGUGGGGAGCAAACAGG